rnacentral:misc_RNA from 1 species
GUUGGUUGCAGAAACGCAGUGUAGGCAGAACAAGCUGCCAACUUAGCAUAGUAUUGCAUAAACGUUUUAGUCAUUCAAUUAUUGUGAGCAUUUAGCAAAUAAUUCCGUUCCCUUUUGUUUCUCAGACAAUCGUAUCAAAGUUACGGUGCCCCUUCCCCCACACGUGGCUCAAACAAAGCGUUCAAUCAAGUAAGGCUGUUCCAAUAUUCCCGGACUACAUCAGUGGAUGAAAUAAAGCAUGGAUUGUUUCACCUGCUAUGAAUGCUCAAUCUCUCCAUGCUGAAAAAAGAACUGGGUAAGUCUGAGCUUCUUCAUUGCAGUCCAAUGUGCAAAUGGAUUUGUUGCAGCCAGCUGGUGAAAGGUGUUCUUCUUGCAGGCUUGCUACCUUAAGGUCUUUAGGUUUUUAGGUUGUAGCUUUCAUCACAUGCAGAAACACUACAUAACAUUUGAAGUGCCGGAGCCGGAGUGUCUGUUCGUGAGUGACGAAAUACCGCUAUUUGCUUUCGAGACAGGACAGAAAUGUGUUGCUGACAGUGUUUUUCGAGGUCUGAGCCUUCCUCCCUAUUUUUCUCUUUUACAUUUAGAAAUGAUAAGGUAUUUCCACGCCAUUAAACCAACCUGAAGCGAAAGCGAAUCAUUCUUAAGCAAUAAUAUGUCGAAGAUCUGGCCUUUCUUCACGUGAUCGCUGCUGUGUCAUGAAAAUGCGUCUUUGAGACUAUAUUGCAAGACUAAAAUGUGAUGAAAACAGGAAAUCUGAAAUGAUUUCAACCUGCAGACGUUUGCAUAUCCUUCACGCUUGAAGGUCGAGGGAAACAUUGUGUAAAAUUGUCAAUGCGGCGGUGUAGAGAUUGGGUGAGAACUGGACGUGUUUCAUCAUUUUCAGCAGACCCAACCCCAGCAACGUCAACCUAAAGAAGGAAAGGCCAGUUUGCAUUUCCUUCACUUUCGAAGGUCACGGAGAUCAUUACGUAAAACUGUCAAUGCGGUGGUGUAGAGGUUGGGUGAGGACGACACGUGUAACAUAUCAAGCAGGUACAAAAGCCGCAAGGUAUAAGAUGUGGGUCAGGGUGAGAAAAAUGUCGUAUAAAAGGAGAGAGAAAAGUCGACAAGGAUCAGUCGAACGAGUAUCUCCGACACGGUAACAACUUCAGCGCACUAUUGGUCACCAGCUGCAUUCUUCAUCGUAUCAUCAUCAGUUCGCAAUCCCAACAAACUGUGGCGUCGUGCUGCUGUUGGUUGUUGUCCUGAAAUACUACUCCACCGAGGCUUCAAAGUAUUACACUACAAUUUAUGCUGCCGCGAGAUGCAUCACUAAAGAGCUCGAGUUCUACAUCGUGAUCCCAUUCGUAUUAAGCCAUAACCAUUUGGUAUUAAUUUGAUAUUGUUUGUUGUACACCCACCCCCAGCAACGUCCAAUUAGCAUGUCCUUCACCCUUGAAGGUCGCGGAGAUCAUUAUGCAAAUCUGUCAAUGCGGUGGUGUAAGGUUGGGUGAGAACAGAAAGUGUUUGCUAUAUUAUCGAGGAGGUAUAAUAGUCGUAAGGCUUAAGAGAGGGGUCAGGGUGAGAAAAAGUCGUAUUAGUGGCAAGAGAAAAGUCAAUAGGGAUCAGUCGAGUGAGUAUCUCCAUCACGGCAACAACUGCAGCCCACUAUUUGUCACCAACUGCCUUCUUCAUUGUACAACCAGUUCGCAAUCACGGUUCACUCUGGCGCCGUGCUGCUGUUUGGUGUCUUAUCGUUGAAGGUUGGGUCGACCACGGGUUUACUGAUGUCUUCUGGUCAUGGUGGAGACCAAGCAACAGCAGCGAAAGAAUACUACACCACGCCGCCGCCUUACUACGCAACGAAGUCAACAUACGCAACAUCUACUUACAACACCGAGGCCCCCAAGUGCUACACCACCAAGGCUCAAGAGUUACGCUACAAAUAACGCUGCCCCGAGUUACAUCACCAAAGCGCCUGAGUACUACAUCCCCGAGGCACUACAACUGAGGCGGCGAAGUACUACGUAGCCUAUGCUUACAACACAGCAGCUGCUCCUUCAUACUACGUUGAACUGAAAUACUACACCAAGGCUGCAGUUAACUACACCACAACCUACGCUACACCUAGCUACUAUGACGAAGCCCCCAACUACUACACCGAAGAGGCCACAUGUUACACAUCAACGUACAGUGCCCCAGUUUACUACACCGAGGAACCCAAGUAUUACUCUGCUCCAAGCUACUACCAAACUGAGGCUCCUGUUUACCAAGGCCACCGAGUAUUAUACUACAACCAAACGUUAACUAUGGCGUCGUGCUGCUGUUGGUUGUAUUAUCCUUGAUGGCUGGGUUGACCACUGGUGUACCAAUGUCUCCUGGGUAUGGCGGAUACCAAACCGCAACGCCGGUGUCUUACUAUACAACAACAUACGCAGCAACCGGAUACUACACCCCCAAGGCCCUAGAGUAUUAAUUACACCAUAACUUAUGAAGUCCCGAACUUCUACACCGAAGCUUCGAAGUUUAACUCAGCCCCGGGUUAAACCACCAAGGCAGCGGAGUACUACACCACCAAGGCAGCGGAGUACUACACCACCAAGGCAGCGGAGUACUACACCACCAAGGCAGCGGAGUACUACACCACCAAGGCAGCGGAGUACUACACCACCAAGGCAGCGGAGUACUACACCACCAAGGCAGCGGAGUACUACACCACCAAGGCAGCGGAGUACUACACCACCAAGGCAGCGGAGUACUACACCACCAAGGCAGCUGCAUAUACGUACUACGUUGAACCGGAAUGCUAAACCGAGGCUCCAGUUUUCUAUACUACAGCCUGCGCUUCUCCUAGGUACUAUACUACCAAGGCAACUGAGUAUUACACCACUUCUUACGCUGCUACCACCUACUACACCGAAGCUCCGAAGUUGUACUCUGUGCUGAGUUACCACACCAUUAAGGAAGUCGAACAUUACACCACAAACGCUUCCGCAACUUACUACAUGGUGAUUCCGAAAUUUCUAUUUGAUUUUAUUUAGAUAUGUCGGUUUUCUUCAUGGUCAUUGGUCAUUGGGAAUUAAUUGUUGAUCUCGAUUGAGAAAAUAAAAUUUCUAAUGCCGGUAA